AGUGGCGAACGGGUGAGUAACACGUGGGCAAUCUGCCCUGCACUCUGGGACAAGCCCUGGAAACGGGGUCUAAUACCGGAUACGACCACUUCAGGCAUCUGAUGGUGGUGGAAAGCUCCGGCGGUGCAGGAUGAGCCCGCGGCCUAUCAGCUUGUUGGUGAGGUAACGGCUCACCAAGGCGACGACGGGUAGCCGGCCUGAGAGGGCGACCGGCCACACUGGGACUGAGACACGGCCCAGACUCCUACGGGAGGCAGCAGUGGGGAAUAUUGCACAAUGGGCGAAAGCCUGAUGCAGCGACGCCGCGUGAGGGAUGACGGCCUUCGGGUUGUAAACCUCUUUCAGCAGGGAAGAAGCGAAAGUGACGGUACCUGCAGAAGAAGCGCCGGCUAACUACGUGCCAGCAGCCGCGGUAAUACGUAGGGCGCAAGCGUUGUCCGGAAUUAUUGGGCGUAAAGAGCUCGUAGGCGGCCUGUCGCGUCGGUUGUGAAAGCCCGGGGCUUAACCCCGGGUCUGCAGUCGAUACGGGCAGGCUAGAGUUCGGUAGGGGAGAUCGGAAUUCCUGGUGUAGCGGUGAAAUGCGCAGAUAUCAGGAGGAACACCGGUGGCGAAGGCGGAUCUCUGGGCCGAUACUGACGCUGAGGAGCGAAAGCGUGGGGAGCGAACAGGAUUAGAUACCCUGGUAGUCCACGCCGUAAACGUUGGGCACUAGGUGUGGGCGACAUUCCACGUCGUCCGUGCCGCAGCUAACGCAUUAAGUGCCCCGCCUGGGGAGUACGGCCGCAAGGCUAAAACUCAAAGGAAUU
rnacentral:rRNA from 1 species